CUCCCUUCCAGGAUUAAAAAAAAAAGGGGAAAGAUAGAAUACCUUUGCAACCAAGUUACAUGAGGUUAAACAUAUAUUAUUUUGAAAUUAUUUUUUUUAUCCAUAGUGGGCUGCAAUAAUGUAAAUUCCUCGUCAUUAUAGCCCGACAUGCUUCACACACACACACACACACACAAAAGCGGCAGGAAUAAUUGUUUUUCCAUUUUAAAUUCAGGUUUUCCACACGUAUUUUUUUAAUGCAUUUCUUUCAUACAAACUUUAUGAGUGUUUCGUGCAUUCUGUAGUAUGUAAUUAUGACUUAUUUUAACGAAUUCUCCAAUCAAUUGACCCAAGUACAAAUUACUAAAAACAAAUGAAUUAAAAACCGAAAUAUAAAAUGUUCAGUUUUCUUUCCUCAAACCACAUCACUGCUUGAAUUUCUGUGACCACAAUUCCCCCCCCCCCCCCUUCCCUAAAUAUUUAAUCUGAAGUUCAAUUAUAAAUAAAAAUAACUCAUAAAAAUGAAAUAAUGGCUAAACCGAACCUCCUUUUUCGCAAAAUCCUCGAGAUGACACAGGACACAGGACUCAGAAACAACGAACCCACUCAGCGCUCGUUAAUCGGGAGUUACUCAGUGACUCCGAAGAAAGACGACGACAGGGGGAAAAGAAAAAAAAAAGCUGAAUGGUAUGGGGAGCGUCAAGAUAACACACGUACACCAUUAUUUCUAAGCGUGUCGAUAGCAGAUAGACUCAACGAGCGUGCAUCAUGAAAAAGGCAGUGAAUCAUUUGCCGGCUCACUUAUCAAACAUACUUUAUGCUUCACCCGCCAAACAAAGAGAGAAUUAUGGGAUGCGAUAUAAUUUUCGCUACCCAACUUCAUCUCUAGAAACCUAGCCACGGAUUAAUUAAUGCCAAACAAUCGGCGAUUCUGCGAUCAAACUAUAAUUAAUUAUAUUAAAAAAACGAUUAGUGGGAGAGCACUAAAAAUAUUCCCGAAAUUUCCGACAUUUUAAAUACCACCGGAACGAUGAAAACCCACAUUAAAAAUUCAAAAUUUCUUUUAUUGAGAAAAAAAAAUAUUGUCUGCGUUUUAAAGUGGUUUUAAUGCAAAUGUCAACAAAUAUCCUAACAUUAUUGAACAUUUAAAUCACUUAACAUUCUGUGCUCUUUAAUGCUCAAAUAAAAAUUAUAUAAUGUGCAAUGGCAUUCAAGCAUGUUUCAUAAGAUCGAACGACUGCUUUAAAGAGUUAACAAAUGUAUGAUGUUGAUUUUAAGAGCGUUUAAGAUUUUACGUAUUCAAAAAUAUUUUUAUUUAUUUUCAUAUACAAAAUUUUAUGCCACUGUAUUGUGGCAAUCAUAUAUUAGCCUUACAAUCAAUACUCAUUCUUCCUGAAAGUAUAUUAUUUAAAGGCUCUUAACAAGUUCAUUUUCCAAGAAAAGUAUUUCAAAAAUUUUACUAAAAAAUUUGUGCAUGUUUCUAUAACAUAUUCUGAGGAAAUCAUAUAAAUAAUUUUAUUAAAGCUCAACUUUAACUUAAUGAAAAAUGAUAACAUAUAUAAGGAUUAGUUAUAGUUUACUCCCAAUAAAUUUCAAUUUGGUUGGAACGGAAGGAUAAAUCCCAUGAGUAGGAAAACAAACGAAUGACAUACAAAAUAAGUAUAAGUGACAGUACUAACAAAGAAAGUGACGACAAUAGUAGGCGUUCCAAGUCGAAGUGUUAGUAAUAUCUUGUUAUCAUCUGCGUAAUGACAGCUCAUGCAGAAUCAGAAUAAUUGGUAUAAAACACUGGCAAUGAAAGCACCAUGACACACAACGUAAAAUAUUUUCGGCGGCAGAAGAACAGUAGGGAUGGUCAGAACGGUAAAACAAGAUUAACCAGUGAUAAUUGUCUCGCUGACACUGCUGUCUGCCAUGGCCUCUGCUCAGUUCAAACAUAGACAUCGCUAUAACUUUAGGAGCAUUACAGAACACAGUGGUAAAAUUAGGCAAGAUUGGCUAACUCCAAACCUUUUCUUUGAAAUAAACGUGGGCAACAUCGGACCGGAACCUUCAAUUCCUGGAGCUGGUGAACAGAUCGUCUACGGUAACCUGGGACCAUAUCCUCUACGCUCUGGAGUUGGCGUCGUCUCCUAUGCAGCGUCCAAUAACUCUGGCCCGGCUGUAGCUCCACAUUAUGUAGAGAUAUAUUUUGCUCGUGGCAGCAAUAAUGACGAAGGGAACACUGGAGAGACUGGGCCAUCUCCUGAUCCCGAGAAAGCCAUCUCCUACGACGACCUGGGACCAUAUCAUCUACGGUAUGGAGUAGACAGCGCAUCUUCUGCGGAAUCUGGUGGUUCUCGCAAGUCUGCAGCUCAACAAGACGUGGCAGACAAAUCUACAUUUGGCCGCAAUGAUUACGAUGGCAAGAAUGGAACGGCUGGACCAUCUCCUGAUCCUGAGGUAGCCCUCCCCUACAACAACGAGCAGGGACCAUAUCCUCUACGGUCUGGAGUGGACGGCGCUUCUUCUGCGGCAUCUGGUGGCUCCAGCAAGGCUGAAGCCUUGCUGCAAUAUGAGAGAGUUUAAGCAAAUAGUGUGUAAUAUUAGUAGUUGUAGUGCCUGUCGGUGAAGUGUUAAAUCUCUGAAAUCCUGAACGCUGAAGCGUAAGGAGGUGCCUCCCAUUUCAGGUCACGAUUUUAUAUUUAUAUGAAUCACUGAUCAACUUUUAGACUUUUUCAAUUGUUUAAUUUUCAAGAAAUGAAAAAUAUAUACAGCGCAUACGUUUUGCAUAAUUAGCUGCCAAAGUUACAUUUUAAACGUUUUUGGUUUGUACAAAUAAUGAGAAAUUAAUUUAUUAGUAAGAAUAGUAGUAGGCAUGGAAUUAUUGAUUUAUACGAUUUUGAAAGCAAGUCAAAUGAUAAAUUGUGUGUUUAUAAAUUUAUUUUUGUAAGUACGAGAUUUAAAAUACAUUAUAUGUGCCUGCCAUUUGUAAAAAAAAAUAGUAUCAUUUUAAGUGUUAUCACAUCACUCUCGUUGUGUACAUUGGAUAUGUUACCUACAAACAUUUUAAAUAAUUUUCCUACGUAGGUUUUUUUCCGAGUCUGCACUGCUCUGAAAGACUGAAGGCCUUAUUUCAGUAACGGUACAAAUCCUUUUUUUUUUUAAUGGAAUAAUCUACACUGUCAUGUUGAUACAAGUCAUUUAAUAAAAAGAAAAAAGUUAUUCCAUGGAAAAGAAUAUUUCGGGCACCACAACCACAGAAUUUAAAUGUUAUUAUGUACACCGUAUCUCAAAAUUAACCACAAUGGAUAUGUACUAAUAUUGAAAUAAGGCUAUCAAUUAUUGUACAACGGUAAAAGUAUGGUAAAAUAUCUCUAUUCGUAAUUGCAACCAAAAAAACACAUUAGAGUUUAUUUUUGUAAUUGUAUUGAAAAAAACUUCUGUAUGGAGAAAAUAUAUAAACGUGUAUAUUUUUAACUAUCUUCAACAUAACUGAGAUAACAAUGCUUAAAAAAAAAUUUGUAAUGUGUUAUAAAAUGUUCUAGAAAUUAAAUAUAAUUUGUUUAAAUAUAAUCACGAACAAUUAGUUAAAAAGUCCGCACUAACCGGUUUGAUAUUAUAGAAGAUUUUCUCGCACGGUGGUUGGCCGGUUAUUGCACGCUCGGCUCAGGCGGAACGUGACAAUUUUACGUGCGUGCAGCCGGCGUUCAUCGAUUUGUAAGACGUUAUCACGACAGAAAAAUAAUAAAAGGAGAGAAAAUUUGCUAUCCCUCUAA